GACGAACGCUGGCGGCGUGCUUAACACAUGCAAGUCGAACGGAAAGGCCCUGCUUUUGUGGGUUGCUCGAGUGGCGAACGGGUGAGUAACACGUGAGUAACCUGCCCUUGACUUUGGGAUAACUUCAGGAAACUGGGGCUAAUACCGGAUAGGAGCUCCUGCUGCAUGGUGGGGGUUGGAAAGUUUCGGCGGUUGGGGAUGGACUCGCGGCUUAUCAGCUUGUUGGUGGGGUAGUGGCUUACCAAGGCUUUGACGGGUAGCCGGCCUGAGAGGGUGACCGGCCACAUUGGGACUGAGAGACGGCCCAGACUCCUACGGGAGGCAGCAGUGGGGAAUAUUGCACAAUGGGCGGAAGCCUGAUGCAGCAACGCCGCGUGCGGGAUGACGGCCUUCGGGUGGUAAACCGCUUUCGCCUGUGACGAAGCGUGAGUGACGGUAAUGGGUAAAGAAGCACCGGCUAACUACGUG
rnacentral:rRNA from 1 species